rnacentral:rRNA from 1 species
GACGAACCGUGCAAACGUUAUUCGGAAUCACUGGGCAUAAAGGGCGCGUAGGCGGCUUGACAAGUCAGGGGUGAAAUCCGGCAGCUUAACUGUCGCAGUGCCUUUGAUACUGUCGAGCUCGAGGGAGGUAGGGGUCUGUGGAACUUCCGGUGGAGCGGUGAAAUGCGUUGAUAUCGGAAGGAACGCCGGUGGCGAAAGCGACGGACUGGAUCUCUUCUGACGCUGAGGCGCGAAAGCCAGGGGAGCAAACGGG